GACGAACGCUGGCGGCGUGCCUAAUACAUGCAAGUAGAACGCUGAAGCUUGGUGCUUGCACCGAGCGGAUGAGUUGCGAACGGGUGAGUAACGCGUAGGUAACCUGCCUGGUAGCGGGGGAUAACUAUUGGAAACGAUAGCUAAUACCGCAUAAGAGUAGAUGUUGCAUGACAUUUGCUUAAAAGGUGCAAUUGCAUCACUACCAGAUGGACCUGCGUUGUAUUAGCUAGUUGGUGAGGUAACGGCUCACCAAGGCAACGAUACAUAGCCGACCUGAGAGGGUGAUCGGCCACACUGGGACUGAGACACGGCCCAGACUCCUACGGGAGGCAGCAGUAGGGAAUCUUCGGCAAUGGACGGAAGUCUGACCGAGCAACGCCGCGUGAGGGAAGAAGGUUUUCGGAUCGUAAAGCUCGGUUGUAAGAGAAGAACGAGUGUGAGAGUGGAAAGUUCACACUGUGACGGUAUCUUACCAGAAAGGGACGGCUAACUACGUG
rnacentral:rRNA from 1 species